UUGUUCCUUUUGUAGGACAAUCUUACUCUUAAAUUAAAUAACUAUGUAUUAACCUAUCAAAUAUACGGAAAAUCAGCCUAGUG